UAGCAUAGGAGCAUCGAGGCUCUUAUCAUUGCUAUUUGUCGAGUCAAGGUGCAGCUGGGCUAGCUUUGGUCUCGAAUUUCAUCACUCUCCACUUAGCCCAGACCUUCCCCUACCCAAUCUCAAACUUCCACUCCUAGACCCCCUUACAGUGCCAUGGUUAGGUCUGGCACUGGUUUUCCACCCAUUUGCCCUGGGCCUUUUGCUAGAACCAGGAGCAAAAAACCAGCUCCUUCCUCAUCCACUGAACCUAUCAUAGAAAUUCCUUCUAAUGAGGAUUAGUUUUAGUUUUUAUCUUGUUUUUGUUUUAGACUAUGUUUUGUGCUGUGAUCUCUUUUUGUAAUGAAUAUUCUAUUAUAUUGCUUGAGUGACAUCUUUUUGUAAACAAUACAUACAAGUUAAUGAAUAUUUACUUCUCUUUAUCUUUUUGUAUACUAUUGUGUCAUCUUGUGAAUGUUCUUUUUGAUGUUGAUAAAAAGGGGGAGAUAAGAGUGUUGUGAUCAUAGGCGAUUUCAUACAUGUAUUUUGAAAUUUUUUUGAAUAAAUUAUAAUAAAAGAUAAUUAGAUUAAUCAAAUUAAUCUAACAUGCAUAUGAUCUAAUCAUCAAAUUAACCUAAUCUAAGAUCUAUGACAUGAUAUGUUGCAUAUAAAAUCUAAAAUAAUCACAGGAUAAAAUCUAUAUGCAUGGAUGUAAGCAGUAGAUCACAUCUACUUCUAAUCUGAGUUCAGAACUCAAUAUCUGAUCAUGGAUCGAUGAUUGCUGCUACUGAGAGAUAUGAUAAAGAUGAUCUUUACUACUUGCUCACAGCCGCACAUACAUCCGGCCUCUAUAAAAAAUCUACUCGAAGUCCCGAUCUGAUCAGUCUUCUCGGGAGUGCUAGCUCGCAUGAAGACUUUCUUCUUGGCUAAUCUGAAUCUUUUCUUCAAAUCUCCAGAUUUUUUUUAAAGAUUGAGGAUGGACUUCUAGAGGAGAUGAAGAGAUGAAAAAAAGAUGGAGAAGAAACUUUUUAUUUUUUAUUUUUCUCUCUUUCCAAACCCUGAGGUAGAAACCCUAGAAGACUAGAUUUUGCACACACCCCAAGAAAGAGGACUCUCCUCCUCUUUUUCACGUCAAGAACCAUGCCCCAAAGCCCC
rnacentral:lncRNA from 1 species